rnacentral:rRNA from 1 species
AUUGAACGCUGGCGGCAUGCUUUACACAUGCAAGUCGAACGGUAACAGGCCGCAAGGUGCUGACGAGUGGCGAACGGGUGAGUAAUGCAUCGGAACGUGCCCAGUCGUGGGGGAUAACGCAGCGAAAGCUGUGCUAAUACCGCAUACGAUCUAUGGAUGAAAGCGGGGGACCGUAAGGCCUCGCGCGAUUGGAGCGGCCGAUGUCAGCUUAGGUAGUUGGUGGGGUAAAGGCUCACCAAGCCAACGAUCUGUAGCUGGUCUGAGAGGACGACCGGCGACACUGGGACUGAGACACGGCCCAGGCUACUACGGGAGGCAGCAGUGGGGAAUUUUGGACAAUGGGCGCAAGCCUGAUCCAGCAAUGGCGCGUGCAGGAAGAAGGCCUUCGGGUUGUAAACUGCUUUUGUACGGAACGAAAAGGUUUGGGUUAAUACCCUGGGCCGAUGACGGUACCGUAAGAAUAAGCACCGGCUAACUACGUGCCAGCAGCCGCCGUAACAC